ensembl:snoRNA SNORA70 Small nucleolar RNA SNORA70
CUGCAGUCAGCUCAGCUGACCGUGCUCGUCUCCCUGUGCGGGCCCAGUGUGCAGUGGCUGCAGACAGCAGCCUCUUCAGUAGUGUAUGCAGCCUGUUUUCUGUAUGGGUUGCCCUCGUCGACCUUGGAGACAGCC